CACCCAAUUAAUAAAAUAUAUGAUAAAUUCAUUCUUCUAUAUCUGUUAUUUGUAUUUUUUAUUCAUUUAUUUCAAAACUUACUGUCUCCCAUAUCACUGUAUAAAAAACAAGAACUUAUAUCUUACUUCUUCAUAGUCUUGACCUGAAGAAGAGAAGCUAAGGAACAACCCCUAACAAACGCCACAGACGACCUGAAAAAGGGAGAAAGAAAACCCAAGUAGAAACUCAGAAGACCCAAUUCUUAAAGAAAAAAAAAAUUCAGAAGAUCCAAACCCAAUUAAGAUUUGGAGCAAGAAAGAGUUACCAAACAUAAUGCGAG
rnacentral:misc_RNA from 1 species